rnacentral:lncRNA from 1 species
CCUGAGUCUUCAUUCUUACAAUCGGAAACAAAAACACCACAAGGCAACAAAACACAGCAAACAGGUCAAAAACAACAGUAAUAACGACCACACACAGACUACUUAAUUUCAGAGACUCAGAUGCAUUAUUGAAACGCUAGACUUAAUAGCAGUUUCCAUCACCACAGGUCAAAACAACAGUAAUAACGACCAAAACCACAGACAACU